AAAGCUUACAUCUCUUCGGAGCAUUUUACGAGGUGCUGCAUGGUUGUCGUCAGCUCGUGCCGUGAGGUGUCGGGUUAAGUCCCAUAACGAGCGCAACCCCUACCUUUAGUUGCCAUCAGGUUAAGCUGGGGACUCUAAAGGAACUGCCUACGCAAGUAGUGAGGAGGCGGGGAUGACGUCAAAUCAGCACGGCCCUUACGUCCAGGGCUACACACGUGCUACAAUGGCCGAUACAGAGGGCAGCUACCUGGUGACAGGAUGCAAAUCUCCAAAGUCGGUCUCAGUUCGGAUCGGAGUCUGCAACCCGACUCCGUGAAGUUGGAUUCGCUAGUAAUCGCGCAUCAGCCAUGGCGCGGUGAAUACGUUCCCGGGCCUU
rnacentral:rRNA from 1 species